AAGGGAGGCAGCACCUCCAGGCGACGAGUAGAGCUGGGCCCUGGCGGGCUGCCACUGGGGUGUCUGGCAGUCCCUCCUGGGUCUAGCGCUGUUCCUCUGAGGUCUCGAGGUGGUCCUUCGGGUGUGUCUGGGUUGGGAAGAUAAAACCAGUACGUGUAAUGUAAUACAUGACAAUGGAACAUUCUACAUAAUUAAGGGUUAACUCUGAAAUCAGAAGACAAGUUUUCCAAGACUUGGGAAGGUGGAGAGAUCAGAGAUCAGUGAGAGAACAAAGAAUCGGAUGGAGUUUGGCUCUUGUCGCCUAGGCUGGAGUGCAAUGGUGCGAUCUCGGCUCACCGCAACCUCCACCUUCCGGGUUCAAGUGAUUCUCCUGCUUCAGCCUCCCAAGUAGCUGGGAUUACAGGCGCCCACCAUCUCACCCGGCUAAUUUUGUAUUUUUAGUAGAAAUGGGAGUUUCACUAUGUUGGUCAGGCUGGUCUAGAACUCCCAACCUCAGGUGAUCCGCCUGCUUCGGCCUCCCAAAGUGCUGGGAUUACAGGCAUGAGCCACGGCGCCCAGCCUGAUUAUGGUCGUUUAAUCAGCCCUGCAAUCCCCACUCCAUAAUGCCAUCCUGCCAAGCUUCCUGAGCUGCUGUCUUUAAUGUUAGAUGCUGGGGCAGGCAGAAUAGUGCCCCCCAGAUAGCCAUGUCCAACUCCCCAGGCCCUGCCAAUAUGUUACCUUUCAUGGCAAAGGGGAAUCAGGGUUGUAGAUGGAACUGAUGUUGCUGUGGAAUAACAAGAAAGAUAUUUGGUCAUUGUCCCUGGUUUCAGGCACAAAGCUCUAAACCCUUGGAAUUUUGAGCAAUAGAGUGUUAAGAGCCUCUUUUGUUUUAAUGAGGCAACUCUUGUACUUAGCUUCAGGGUGGGAGCUGGCUGCCAGAAAGACCAAGCUUGAUUAGAAGAUCAGCAUUUCCUGCACCCCCUCCCCCAACCUCCAGGGAAGGGAGAGUGGCUGGAGAUUGAGCUGAUCACCAGUGGCCACAGUCAAACCUAUGGACUGAAGCCUCCAUAGAAACCCCUAAAUGAUGGGGUUCAGGGAGCUUCCAAGUUGGCAAACACAUCCUCAUCCCAGAGGGUGGUGCACCCCACCUUGACUGAGACAGUGGCUUCUGCACUCGGGACUUACCUUGUCCCGGGUACUUCUUCAUCUGGUUGUUCAUUUGUACCCUUUAUAAUAAACGGUAAGAGUAAGCACAGCUUUUCCUGAGUUCUAUGAGUCAUUCUAGAAAAUUAUUUAACCUUGGGGUAAUGAGGUAGUUGAAACCUCUUUGUAGGAACUUUCCUUUGUAGGUCAAUCAGCAGAAGUUAGGCUAACCUGGGAACCCAGUCCUUUCUUUGGUGUCUAAGGACAGUCUUGUGCGACUGUGGAGUCACACAAGAACUCCAGGUAGUGUCAGAAAGGAAUUGAAUUGUAGGACACCGAGCUGGCAUCAGAGAGUUGGAGAAGUGGUGUUGGAAAAGACACGUUUGAUGUCAAGAGGAAGAAAAAACCCUCAGUUUUUUUUUUUUUUUUUUUUUGAGAUGGAGUUUCACUCUUGUUUCCCAGGCUGGAGUGCAAUGGCACGAUUUCAGCUCUCUGCAACCUCUGUCUCCCGAGCUCAAGCAAUUCUCCUGCCUCAGCCUCCCGAGUAGCUGGGAUUACAGGUGCCCACCACCACG